rnacentral:rRNA from 1 species
GAUGAACGCUGGCGGCGUGCCUAAUACAUGCAAGUCGAGCGAAUGGAUUAAGAGCUUGCUCUUAUGAAGUUAGCGGCGGACGGGUGAGUAACACGUGGGUAACCUGCCCAUAAGACUGGGAUAACUCAGGGAAACCGGGGCUCAUACCGGAUAACAUUUUGAACCGCAUGGUUGGAAAUUGAAAGGCGGCUUCGGCUGUCACUUAUGGAUGGACCCGCGUCGCAUUAGCUAGUUGGUGAGGUAACGGCUCAGCAAGGCAACGAUGCGUAGCCGACCUGAGAGGGUGAUCGGCCACACUGGGACUGAGACACGGCCCAGACUCCUACGGGAGGCAGCAGUAGGGAAUCUUCCGCAAUGGACGAAAGUCUGACGGAGCAACGCCGCGUGAGGGAUGAAGGCUUUCGGGUCGUAAAACUCUGUUGUUAGGGAAGAACAAGUGCUAGUUGAAUAAGCUGGCACCUCGACGGUACCUAACCAGAAAGCCACGGCUAACUACGUGCCAGCCGCCGCCGUAA